UGUUACGUGUUACAGUUACGCAGGAAGGGGAAUAACAUUCAGGUCAUCAGACAUUUCUUAAAAAUAAAGAUUGUUCACGAGUCCCUCAUCUCAAGUCCGAGUCAAGUCUUUUGAGGACGAGUCUCAAGUC